UUUCCCCUAUUUUUCACACCAGAGUGUUAGGUUAAUUAUGUUCUAUAUGUUCAUGUAUUGUUCUAGUAGCACAGGUUUAAGCAAACCAUGAUUGCACCUUCUCUUCAUGAUGCCGAUUGUUGAUGCAUCUACUGUUUGCUGUUGCAUCUUUUUUCCUCCAUUUUGUUUGGCUUUUGGCGCUAUAUUACUAGCUUGUCAGUUUAAUACAUUUUCAUGAACAUCUCUAUUAACACCAUUCAUUGGUUGCUCUCUAGAGUCUCUACCUUUGUUGCUUCCAUCUUCUCUUUGUUACGGUUAGUCAUCUUCAGCGCUCUGUCAUGAUCCUAUUUGUUCAUAAAUUCAUAGUGCGAUUGAAUGGCCAACAAUAUUUCUAAAAUGUUUUGAGACAGCAACUCUGGAAUGUUUGUCAACUCAGCAUGCAUUGAAUCUCACACAUAUUGAUUAAAUUCCUUAUCCCCGUCCUUUUUUUU
rnacentral:lncRNA from 1 species